AAGCAAAAAGGUCAUUUCCCAAAGCGCCAUGAAAUGGCAGAGCAGGCACUGGAAAACUACCCCUAGAAGACAAACAACCCUGUUCAAAGCAGCCAUUGAGCAGCAACUGUUACCCAGUAACCAUCAAGGAUAGAACCCUGGCCCUGUUUGAGCAGGAAUAACUGUCCUUCUGGCCUUCCUCUUCCCUGGGGGUUACCAACCUCUCCUCCUGUGCCUUUCAAAGCAACCCAAGAAAAGUGUCAGGAGAUAAGGAUCAGAGGAGGAUCUGGGGCCCAAUUCUCACUCAGCCUGAAGCUCCCUGGGGGGAAUUGGGGCCAAUCUCUUGCUAUCUACCUAACCUUAGAAUGUGGUUGUGAGGCUAAAAGUUACAUCUGGGGAAUAGCUACAGCGAGAAAGAAGAGGUUGGGAGAAGCUAAGAAGAAGGAGAGAAGAGACUCUACAGUGGAAGAACAAACUUUGGGAAGAGCAGGAUCAGCCCCUUUAUCAUUUCGGUUUCCAUCUUCUGCUACACCUUCUUCAGUUCGACAGUAUCCGCUUUUAGUAAUCUGGUGACCGGAACGAUACACAUUACUUCUGAGGAACAGCUACAACUGGAAACAAGGUCAGCUUCAUGUUGUUGUUGUUGUUGUUGUUGUUGUUGUUGUUGUUGUUGUUAUAGCCCAGUAAGCUUGCAUACCACUUUGGGUUUAUUCUCUCUUUUUGACAGUUAAAGCACCACAUUUUCAUUGAUGCCAGGAGAUGUUGAACAGUAGGGCACACAUCUUGGGGUGCCUCUGUUAUGGCACAAGAGAUAUUCCCAGACUGAUUGGGCAAGGUUCAGACCACAAUAUGUGUCUGGACAUUUAAAUUUGCAUUCUGAUUGGGCAAGACCUCUAGGGUUUUUAAAUUCUGUCUUGAUCGAAUUGGGCAAGAUCUCUAGGAUUUUUAAAUUGUAUAUGGAAUUGGGCAAGAUCAAGGCCUGUGUGGGCCUCGAUUUUUAAAUUGCAUCCCCCAGCUUGAUAUUGACAUUUGUAUUCUGAUUGGGCAAGACCUCUAGGGUUUUUAAAUAUUGUAAGGAAGUGGGCAAGAUCAGGGCCUGUGUGGGCCUCGAUUUUUAAAUUGCAUCCCCCAGCUUGACUGAGCACACAAUCUCUAGGUUCCCUUAGAGUGAAUUGGGCACGAUACCAUCUUUUUUUUAAAUUCCAUGUCUGGGCAGCUUUAAGCCAGUGGACUGGAGUCCCAUGAGCUUGGAAUCUCCAAUGGCUCAACUGGGCAAGACAAUUGGUGUCUUUAAAUUCUGUCAGGGCCUUGUGGACAUAUUUUUCAGCCAGGGGUGUAGUGUUAAAUUUGGAUCGACUGACCACCCACUUUUAUUCAUGCUCUUGAUCAAGUCUGAAUCAAAUGGAUCACGUUGCGUGUUUUAUAUGCGCUGUGUCCCAAGUCUUGAGUGACCCAUGAAGAGAUGACUUCUUGUUUAGUGCACUCAUGGCCACCUCGGAUCCUUAUUCCAUACUCAAGGAAAGCAUUGAUUUUGAAUGCUGGGCCCAAGGUUUUGAUGUUUUUCUGUCUAUUGAUAACAUGGAAGGAAUCAUUUCACAUGCAAAUGUUUAAAUUGGUUGUGUCAUGCAAGGGUUUUGAGAACUGUCUUGACUAAAGAAAUAGUUUGAUUGCCUUGUCAGCAAGAAUAGUUUUUGAAGCCUAGGUGGAAAUCAUGCUUUCUUGC